ACGGUUACGCUACGUCACUAGUUGUUUUUGAGAAUUGUCAAAAAUUGAAAAUUAUUAUUUACAAAUAAUGUAAUAUUGGUUGUUUUCUAAUUUGUAUUUAGUUUUACAUCUGAACUUUUGUGUAUUAAGAUUUUCUUGGUGGUGUCUAAAUGUGUUUUAAUAUUAAUACGACAAAAGUUGUACUUCCUAACCUAUAAUUGUGUUUAAUAAUUUUAAUGAUCGUACUGUUUUGUUUCGUUGAAAAAGUUAGUAAAAGUGCCUAAAAAUGUAAUAGUGUAAGUGUAUUUUUGUAAAUACUGGUGAUAGUGCUUACAAAUAUAAUGGAUUUGGAUUAUUAUCAUAAAGGCGGCAGUACGAUACGCUCUCAUAACAGAAACUGUUUCUAACAUCUCCAGCUGCAGCAAAACCAAGAAAAAGAAGACAUUGCUACCGACCACAGUGCAAAAAUAAAACUAAUAAAGAAUGCGACUUUUGUAAUAAACUUUUAUGUGGAAGCUGUAAUCAGUCAAAAACAUUGUUUUGUCGUCAAUUCAAAUAAGUGUUCUGUGUGUGUUUAUGUGUAUGGUUGUAACUGUAAGUUAUAAAUGAAAAAUAAAUAAAAUAAUGACAGAUUAA